AGAGAGAGGAGAAAUAUUACAUACGCUGCACAUUUAGUAACACUUAGAAAUCAAUAUUUAUUUAGUGUUUAGUGUUUAUGAGUUCAGUGGUGAAAGAAUGACAGAUAGUUUUAGUAAAAUUAGAAUGCAACAGUAUAAAUAUUAUUUAUAUUACUUAUUACUCAUUGUUGUUUUUUUACUUAUCCAUUUAUAUUUUACCCGUUAUGUCUGUUUUUACAACCUAAAUAAUUGUUUUUUUGUUUCAUUUUGUAUGUUUUCUUCUUCUUAAUAAUAGUUCAGUUAAAUUUGACUAUCUUAGAAUGACCUAGACCUGUAAGAACUUUUUAAAACUGUUAAGAAGUUCUUACAUCAUUUCUUUUUUCUUUUUCUAACUUUCACUGUCCUAAGUUGGAUGAUGUGUGUCUGUGUCUCUAUGGUUCCCAUCUGUGUUGUAAGGACUCUACUACUGCAAACAAAAUCUACCUCUGGGUACUAAUACCAUAAAAUUACUAUUCAAGUAAAAGUGUCAUGGUCCUGAAAUUCAGGUCUUUUUAUUUGUGUUGCCUUUGGCUCAGUUUCCCUCAGCUGUUCUUCCCCAGCAUGAUUUUCCCUCCACACCUGACUCACAUCAACCUCAUCGGCCCUGCCCUGUGUUUUUCCCAGCUUAUCAGCUCCUUCCCUUCUCUCCUUACUGAUUCCUCUCACCUUUGCAUCUCUUAAUCUUACCUCAUCCCCUCGUCAGUCCAGGUUGCAUUUAUAUCCAGCCGCUAGUUCAGCCUACUCGAGCUGACUUGUGUUUGGCUACUUCUGCUGUUCAGUUUACCCUUUUUCACAUUAUGAAAUAAAGUUCCGCAACUGAUCUGCCUGCUGUCUCUUACAUGUCAGAAGUCCGAAGUCCUACCAAUGCUUCAGAAAUGCAUCUUGACUGAGCACUACUCAAGGUCAGUUGAGGCUGCGUUGCCAGUUUUGACCAACAUCACUGUGCAAAUUGUGCUUCAACAGAAAUGUAUCUGACCCGAGGUCCAGAAAAGAGACGACAGUUGGUUGAACUUUUCUACUCAAAGCCCUCUGGACUCACCUCUGCUACGGGACAUGCCAAAGACUUCAAGGCCAAAGGAUAAAGGCAAGAGAAAAGAACAAGAACAGAAACAAAAACUGGAGAAAGAAAGACGAAGAGGGGACAAAGAAAGUGAGAGAAUUAGAGGAACACUCAAGUUAUGUUAGUAACAGACACUGUAGAGGGAAUCACUGUAGAGGGAAACUGGAACUAUAUCACUAAAACCACACUUCUUAAUAUAACCUGUAA